AUCGUAUGAUUUCCCCGUUGGUUGUGGAAGGUAAAGUUCCGAUCGCAAGGGCUAAUGCUAGUGAUAAAACUUCUAGAUGGAUCAUUGCUUUAGUGAAGCUGUACGAACUCGGAGGUAUUUUUUCUAUGCAAAUAUAUAUAUAUAUCCAGUGAAUUUGAAAACGUUGUGCAAUCAAACACGUGCCAAUUAAAUUGAAGUUCUGGUGGAUUGUAUUAUUCGGUUUGGUUUAAAGAAGACAAGAGGACUGGGAAUCUUACUACGUUCGACAUCGGGAAAGAGAAAAAGUACCAACUGACCCCUCCAAUAACGAAGUCGUCAAAGUCCAUCGAUUUCUUAGUAGAUCUGGGAAAGGCCUCGGAUUUCCCAGGAACCAGCAUCUACAUAAACCAACGAUAACUACAACCAAAUAAACUAGCAAAAGCCGUCCGAAGAUAUACUAGAGUGAAAUUUGAAGUAAUGUGGAUCCAUACUUAAACUGAUGUACUUCUUGGAGUAAGACGACAAGAAUGGUUUUCUUGCGAAUUCGGAGAAACUAAUAUGCCGCACUCGUCACCCUUCUCGCUUACGAGUUAAGCGCGCGGCUAAAGCUUUCGCACGUAGUUUCUUCGUUGUGUGUGUAGUGAUUUCCAAACUGGGGAAAUAAAAACAUUAUUCUGCUGCGAUCCACACUGCCGUUUAACAGUCGUCGUAUCAAAAUGUACCCAAAGUAUCAAUUUUGAGUCUCUUUAUGAGAUUUUCCAUUUUCUUUGUAUUAUUAAAGAUUAAAUUCCGUACUAGCUAUUCAUCUUAGUUCUGUAUUGUAUAGACGUUAAGAGAAAAACAAACAAUGUAUAUAAUGACCCAUAAUUAAAAUCAGCGUAAAUGAAAGCCACAUAGUUUUAAGAUCAGCCGUUAAGUUGCAAAUCGUCGUCGAACUGAAUAUGUUCCCACGUCGCCCCUUGAGCUCAACGGACACGCCGGAUAUUUCGUAUAAAGUAUGAGUGAGUUACGAGCUUCCUUAAACGGAGAUCUCGAGUAUUUUCAAAGUAUAUAUAUACGUCUUGUAAAACUUCUAUUGCGAUAUGUUGAACAACCAUAUACAUACGUGCGCUAAUUAAAGCCGAUCGGCUAGUAAUUUUUCUUUCACGUUUGCCUUCUUUUUAUAUUAUUAUCAUAUUUUUUUCUAUUCUUUCCAAUUUAAUUUCUUUUACGCCAUAUUCUCUACACAUACAUAAGUCCUAUAUACAUAUACAUAUACAUUUAUAACUAGAUAUAAAUUGUUAUUAUUUCCUCUUUCUUUAUCUGAUUAAGUUGUAUUAAGUUUAUGCAUAUCCAGAAAAUCAUGAAGUCCAAACCCGUAAAUUUGGAAUUAUUAAAUAAUAAUUAGCAGAUAAUAAUGGAACAUUAAA